ACAGAGCCUGUGGGAUAAAGUUGAGCUGGAGGCCUCUGAGCAGAUCUUCAGCUGAUUCUUCCUCAUCACCAGCAACAGAAGAGCCCUGGAAUUCUGGCCAAGCUGGUGGACGACGGAGCUGAGCAAGGCAGUACCCCAGCCAUCAUGAGCCUGGGAGAACCAGAGGGGAAGAGAAAGGGCUAAGUCUGAGAGGAAGCAAGAACCCUUGGAUUCUUGGAGAUACCUGGUCGAGGCAGAUUAUGGUAGGGCAGGAUGGGCUCUGGGUAUAACGGCCCCACCCACUCCUGGACUUAUCUCUCCUGCUUCUGAGGUCUAGGGUUUGCUAAAGCUCCGAUUUUUUCCAGUCUGAUUUUGAGCAGGAAGAUUGUUGACCUUGCGUAGGUGGCAUGGGUUACGAUGGCGAUGAAAUAAUUUUAAGAAUGCACAACAUGUAGAAAGGGAAGUGCUAUGUAAGU
rnacentral:lncRNA from 1 species